ACAAUUACAGCAAUAACCUUAAGUAAAUCACUGACCAAAUCGUGUUUGGCUGUUUUCACACUGGGUCUGGUUAGAGGGUUUGGUCCGCACUCGACACGGUUUGGUGCGUUUGGUGUUAAGUGUGAACAAAGUCCGCUUGGGAAACGAACCAUACCGGUUCCACCAAGAGGAGUGUGACCGUGAGGAUCGCUGGUUCUUCCACUGAUGUGUGCAUAACAGCAGACGUGUUGCCAGGCAACCAAUUGAACAGGUAGGCUCGUCCAGAUUGGCUAGGGGGCAUGCCCAGGGAGCCUGCAUGCAGCUCAAAAAGCAUCUGUGCCACAGCUCGAGGCGACUGCACUGCCAUGGCUACACAGACGGGCGCUUUGUUUACAUCGAGGAGGAGAGUGUCCGCUCUGCAGGAUAAUUACUACGGAACCCCUGAACGGCAAGACGGUGCCUGUGCAGGCGUUGCUCAGCCAGGACUGGUGGAAAGACCCGGAGACGCAGGGAGGCCGAGACUUCGGGAGCAACAGCAGUAGUUGUGCUAUUCACUCAAACUACCAGAGAAGACAUCACUACAUUUUCAAAAAGUCCUGUAAUUUUGUGAUAUUGACCUGCUUUAUCGAGUGUGAAUAUAAAACAUUCUAUACCACACCGUCUGAAAAAUUUGAUUUAAUGUCGUCAUAAAGCAGAGAAAUAAUGCAGGCGCAGUAUUGUUUGAUUGAAUCUACCCUUAAGUCAUAAAGGGGAGGCUUCAAAUGAGAUUAGUUCAGUCUGUGAUGGUGUGUUUACACUUACAACUCGGACCUGGGCCGCCUUAGGGUUGAUCAGAUUAAAAGAUUCUUAUCAUUUGAGCCACCUCGUGUACACUUGAGCACAGAUCUAAGCUGGCUUUGGCCCCAUAUGCACGUGCACAGACCUUGAACUGUAGUGUGUGUCAGAUGCCGUCAUAUUGACCACCCCUUGUUUGAAGAGAUUUCCUCUCCCCAAAACUCAGAUGCAGAAGUGUUUAAAUUAACAACAACAGUGUCACUUGUGUGUUUUUACUUCAAGGUGGUCGUUCCGUGCUAAUUAACAUUUCAUUUUGCCAUUAGAAUGACUAAUUAAUAAUAUAAAUAACACCUGUUUCUUUAAAUUUUCUUUUCUUCAGGGGUUUGUGGACAUUUAAAGAAACACGUGUUAUUGUAUACAUUUAUACAUCAGUCCGACAACUCUUCUUCGAUGUAAAUGUAAAAUAUGUUUUUAUUAUUUACCAAUGAAAGGCUUAUUUUUGACAUUCAACAAAAGUUAAACUAGCUUAAACAGAAACAUAUGUGUACGUUCUCCCCUCAGAACUCAAGUUUAUCCACCAUGUACUAACAACGCAUCAUGGUACUAUCGGUGAUGCAAUUUAAAAAAAUAAAGCCUUUCUUAAAUCAAAAGAUUUUCUUCUAGAGGUGAAUACAGUCUUUUGUAUAAAAGUAUGUGUUUUGGACCUGAAGCUAGUGGUUUAUAUAUUCUUAUAAAAUAGGUUUUUUAAAUACUCUAUCCUGAUUGGUCAAAACAGGUCAAAUGGGGGUAUUGAAGCAUAUUACCAUGGGUUGGCACUUCUUUUUAAAAAGGGACAAAUCACUGGUAGAUAUCCAUAUGCCAAUAGAAUAUAGAAAAAAAAGAAAAAAAAAGAUGUUAUCACAAUAAAAAUAAUUUUGGGAAGUGUGCGUGAGAUUUUGAAUGAGUGUGAAUCGGACACCAUGGACUCUAAUUCAAGUAGUGAAAAAAAGCACAAGUAUUCAAAUCAAUUCAAAACUUGCCAUUCUGAUCGCUCUGCCCCUUCUCCCUGAACUCUGCCAGAGCUACAGUGUUUCCCUAUCCCAUGUGGGUGGCUCUUAAAAGAGCCUUUUGUGGUUUGUAGCCGGGUCACGGCAAGAAAGUGACUCAGAGGCAAGGAAGCUGCAGUUUAAGCACUAAAGCAGACAUUUAAUAAACAGAACAGGACACAAACAAAAGGCACAGGGGCCAAAAUAAAGGUUUAACAUACAUCCCAACACACCCAACACACCCAACACACCCAACACACCCAACACACCCAACACACCCAACACACCCAACACACCCAACACACCCAACACACCCAACUACUCGUCUCCCAGACAGAUUUCUGGCUGUUUUUAUGCAGGUGGCCACGCCCCAAUUAGCACUAACUGGAGAGUGGCCACACCUGUGAUUGCUGGCAGACACAUUAACCCUGUCUCUGCCACAUGGUUAAAUGGAUGUUCUGUUGCCGCUGCCCCCAUGACUUGCAACACACCCAGGGUGUGGUUAUAUUAGAGUAUAUCACACACUGUCAUGCCUUAUUGCUUACAUGUAUUCACAUCACGGCUCUUACGAUGAUACACUUUGAAAAAUAAAGCCUAUACAUUUAAAUUGAUUCAACUUCCACAAGCUUGCGGCUUUAUUUGUUAAAUGGUAUUAUUGUUAGUGCUGUGAUGCAUGUAAUUAAACAAGGGCUAUGUUUAGGUCUAAAAGCAUGUUACUUUUAAACAAAGGACUGUAUUCGCUCCGUGAAUUACCGACUUAUUGGUUUCAUUCUAGAUUGAGGUACCCACAAAAUCUAACAUUUCCUCAUAAUGAUAAAAAUCUAAACAUGUUUGUAGAUAUGUGUGAAAAAUUAUAUUUCUGACAAUAAAGUUUUGUGGCAACUGGGCUUGUAUCACCUUUAUCCCACAUAAAUUAUACACGUUUAAAUGUCUUUUCAUAUGAUAUUGUUUGAAUUUUGGAAUCCUCUGCCUCUGUCUCUCUCAGCAUUUUAUCAAAGAUAUUUUUGGUUCUGUUGUCCGAGUAACAAUCCAAACUUCCUGGUGCUGUUGUCUGUAACUUGUGUGCCAUUGACAAUGGGGGCGUUGCCCACAAGUGUAUGUGGCAAAGCUGAGCUGUCUCAGAGACCGAUACGUUCACAGGAGACCAAAAA